UGGGAUGGAGCGCGCCUUGGCCCGCUGGCCUUGGCUGCAGCUCCUCGGGAGAGCCGGGGCGCCCACGCGAGAACCUCCCUACCUGAGGACGCUGGGAACACGGAUUCCUGGAUCCCACCAGCCUACGAAGAAAGCCACGGGCGGCGACCCCUGGGACCAGGACGACCAAGGAGGAGGACGACCAGAACUGACCAGCCAGCCCCCUUGGCUAAAGGCUUAGACCUGUGCCCUAGUGAGGGGGCAUUGGUCGCCAACCCCUGACCUUUGCUAUGCUUCUGCCUUGUUGCUCUGAUACUUGCCUCUAUGUCUCUGCCUGUGUUAACCUGCCAGCGCCCUGGAGGGUUGCCAUCCCCAGGGAGGUGUCAGUCUUUCUCGCUCCACUUGUUGUCGCCCGAAUGACGUCCUGAACGGAAGGGUCCCUUUGGGAACGUCUCGGGAGGCCGACCUGGGCCAAGGGCACAACCAGCAUCUCACUGGCAAUUCCAAGGCCCUGGGUGGGCUUCUGGAAUGAGCAUGAGCCCCGACGUCAUGCCAUGGAACUGCCAGGGGCACCCCCCCUCCUUUGAGCUCUCCCUGUCCCUCCUGGGGGGACAGGGACGAGAAGAGCAGUCUCCCAGGGGGUUGUGAGUAUUGAAUGAGAUGAAGUCGCCUCGGGCAGGGCCAGGCAUAGAGGAGGCAGUCGGCAAAUGUUUGUUGAUAAAGUUUGGCCGAUCAGUCCAGCCCCGGCCCGCUCCCGUGUCUCACCGUCUCAUUUAUUCUCCCACAGCACUCCGGAUGGCCCCUGGCCACGGGGCUCUGCCCGCACCAGGUAGGGCUCCACCCAGACGGGCGUCGGGCUGACAUGAGUCAGGGCACGCACUGUGCCUGUGGUCAUUUCUAGAACUUUCUGUGUUCUCGGCCUGCGUUGUUACUGCGUCAGGCAUACGUGGGAGUGAGGCGGCCCCACUGACAGGAGUAUGAAUUUGGCUUCGAUUUGAGUAAUUUUAAAAGGUGACCUCCAGCCCCCACCCCAGGGGCACAGGACUGAUUUACGUGUCCUGAGGUCCUGAGGCUGGAGGAGCGUUAGCAUCUUGUCGCAUUGCUGGCAAGAGAAGGGGUCCAAGUUGGCCCCUGGGUGCCAUUUGUGGCUGCCCCUUACCCCCCCUGCCCCAGAGUUCUCCUGAGCGCUCUUUGAUUUCCAAUCAAACAUUUGACAGUGGGACAGCCUGUUUGAAAUCCCAGCUGCCCAGGGUGGUCUCGGGGGGUCUUGGGUGGCCCCAGUGCUGGUACCAUGUGCUGGGACCACCUCUCAAUAACGGUGUGACCUUAAAUACGUCGCUUAACUUCUCCGGGUCUCAGUUCUUUUCAUGGCCUAAAUGGGGAUUAGGAAAAAAAAAAAAA